UCUUCUCAACCCUUCUGUCUUUUUUGAAUAAAAAGAGGCAGCUGGGCUUGGACUUGGAGGUUUUUGCCGGCGUUCUUGAACGUGGGCUCCUCUGAAAUGCAUUAGCUUGAAUGUGACCGAGCAUGGUUCAACGUGAUAAUUGUCUGCGUUGCUUCGUCUCCGUCUUCAUCUUGUUCAGGCUUCUAACUGUCCGCAAGGACAACUUCAUCUGAAC
rnacentral:misc_RNA from 1 species